GACGAACGCUGGCGGCGUGCUUAACACAUGCAAGUCGAACGGAAAGGCCCUGCUUUUGUGGGGUGCUCGAGUGGCGAACGGGUGAGUAACACGUGAGUAACCUGCCCUUGACUUUGGGAUAACUUCAGGAAACUGGGGCUAAUACCGGAUAGGAGCUCCUGCUGCAUGGUGGGGGUUGGAAAGUGUCGGCGGUUGGGGAUGGACUCGCGGCUUAUCAGCUUGUUGGUGGGGUAGUGGCUUACCACGGCUUUGACGGGUAGCCGGCCUGGGAGGGUGGCCGGCCACAAUGGGACUGAGAUACGGACCAGACUGCUACGGGAGGCAGAAGUGGGGAAUAUUGCACAAUGGGCGGAAGCCUGAUGCAGCAACGCCGCGUGCGGGAAGACGGCCUUCGGGGUGUAAACCGCUUUCGCCUGUGACGAAGCGUGAGUGACGGUAAUGGGUAAAGAAGCACCGGCUAACUACGUG
rnacentral:rRNA from 1 species